rnacentral:misc_RNA from 1 species
GAUGAAGAACGCAGCGAAAUGCGAUAAGUAAUGUGAAUUGCAGAAUUUAGUGAAUCAUCGAAUCUUUGAACGCAUAUUGCGCCCGCCAGCACUCUGGCGGGCAUGCCUGUUCGAGCGUCAUUUCAACCCUCAGGCCUCGCGUCUGGCGUUGGGGCGCUGCGGCCCUCCCGCAGGCCCCCAAAUUUAGCGGCGCAUUCCCCGCGGCCCUGAGCGCAGUAGAGAGUAAAAACUUUAACGCUCCGGCGGCCGUGGCGCGGUUCUGCCUCUUUCCCAAUAGCGCCAAUAGCGCCACCCCCAAAAAAGUUGACCUCGGAUCAGGUAGGACUACCCGCUGAACUUAAGCAUAUCAAUAAGCGGAGGA